rnacentral:rRNA from 1 species
UACAGAGGGUGCGAGCGUUAAUCGGAAUUACUGGGCGUAAAGGGUGCGUAGGUGGUAGGGUGUGUGUUAUGUGAAAGCCCCGGGCUUAACCUGGGAAGUGCAUAGCAAACUGCCCAACUGGAGUACAUGAGAGGGUAGCGGAAUUUCCGGUGUAGCGGUGAAAUGCGUAGAUAUCGGAAGGAACGUCAAUGGCGAAGGCAGCUGCCUGGCAUGAUACUGACACUGAGGCACGAAAGCGUGGGGAGCGAACAGG